rnacentral:rRNA from 1 species
GACGAACGCUGGCGGCGUGCCUAAUACAUGCAAGUCGAGCGAGACUCUUCGGAGUCUAGCGGCGGACGGGUGAGUAACACGUGGGCAACCUGCCUGUAAGACUGGGAUAACACCGGGAGACCGGUGCCAAUACCGGAUAAUCCUUUUCCUCUCAUGAUGGAAAGCUGAAAGUCGGUUGCGGCUGACACUUACAGAUGGGCCCGCGGCGCAUUAGCUAGUGGGUGAGGUAAAGGCUCACCAAGGCGACGAUGCGGAGCCGACCUGAGAGGGUGAUCGGCCACACUGGGACUGAGACACGGCCCAGACUCCUACGGGAGGCAGCAGUAGGGAAUCUUCCACAAUGGACGAAAGUCUGAUGGAGCAACGCCGCGUGAGCGAUGAAGGCCUUCGGGUCGUAAAGCUCUGUUGUUAGGGAAGAACAAGUACCGGAGUAACUGCCGGUACCUUGACGGUACCUAACCAGAAAGCCACGGCUAACUACGUGCCAGCCGCCGCCGUAAGAC